GGAAUCAUGGGGCUUCAGCCUGCUCCUCUUCGGUUUCUGAUGACCUGGGCUAAGAGAGGAUCUUCCUGCUGUGACCCUACUAUGGAUACCUGGCUCUUUUGUUGGACAAUUUUUAAUCUCCUGAAAGCAGUACAUAUGGAAUCUGAAGUCAUACAGAUCCCAAGCCACCAAGUCACAAAGAUGGGACAGAUGGUGAUCCUGAGUUGUGACCCCAUUUUUGGUCAUUCAUUCUUCUAUUGGUACCAACAAAUCUUGGAGCAGAGGCUGGAGUUUCUGGUUUCCUUCUAUAAUGGUAAAACCUUGGAGAAGUCUGAAAUAUUGAAGGAUCGAUUCUCAGUUGAAAAGCCUGAUAAAUCCUACUUCACCUUGAAGAUCCAUCUCACAAAGCUGGAAGACUCAGCCAUGUACCUCUGUGCGAGCAGUUUAACCACAGCCUUGCAAACACACCUCCAGCCCGUGGUCCCUGUUUCUAAGACAUCUGCCACCAUGCUGCCCUUGUUCAACCGAAAAGAUGGAGUCCUAGUGCUUUUGAACCUGGGACCACAAGGAGGAGCUGUGACUCUGUUGAGAUCCAGGAAACUCUGA